UGGUGGAGAAGGAGGGCACUAAAAAUAAUUCAUCAUGACUCUUCAGAAACAUUGAUGAAAAAGUCUGCGAAGACUCCUUCUGCUUUAAAACUCUUAGGCACCACUAAUAUCAGAUAAUUUCCUGAUUUUGAAUCAUUUAAGGAUUGAGUUUCCACAUAUAAACUUUGGAAUUAAUCUGAUUGAUGGUUGGAUGCUUAUCGCACCUUUUAUUGGGUGCAUGCACAUAAAGAA
rnacentral:lncRNA from 1 species